rnacentral:tRNA from 1 species
GCUACGGUCGUCUAGCGGUUAGAACGCUGGCCUUGUAAUCCUGGGGUCUCGGGUUCGAUUCCCGGCGGUGCCC